GGGUAGCCUAGUGGUUAAAGCAUCAGCCUACGGUGCAGAUGGUCGUGAGUUCGAUUCCCGCCCUUGCCA
rnacentral:tRNA from 1 species